UAAAAGGUAACGGAGGCGCUCAAAGGUUCCCUCAGAAUGGUUGGAAAUCAUUCAUAGAGUGUAAAGGCAUAAGGGAGCUUGACUGCGAGACCUACAAGUCGAGCAGGGUCGAAAGACGGACUUAGUGAUCCGGUGGUUCCGCAUGGAAGGGCCAUCGCUCAACGGAUAAAAGCUACCCCGGGGAUAACAGGCUUAUCUCCCCCAAGAGUUCACAUCGACGGGGAGGUUUGGCACCUCGAUGUCGGCUCAUCGCAUCCUGGGGCUGUAGUCGGUCCCAAGGGUUGGGCUGUUCGCCCAUUAAAGCGGUACGCUAGCUGGGUUCAGAACGUCGUGAGACAGUUCGGUCCCUAUC
rnacentral:rRNA from 1 species